rnacentral:rRNA from 1 species
AUUGAACGCUGGCGGCAUGCCUUACACAUGCAAGUCGAACGGCAGCGCGGGAGCAAUCCUGGCGGCGAGUGGCGAACGGGUGAGUAAUAUAUCGGAACGUGCCCAGUAGUGGGGGAUAGCCCGGCGAAAGCCGGAUUAAUACCGCAUGAGACCUGAGGGUGAAAGCGGGGGAUCGCAAGACCUCGCGCUACUGGAGCGGCCGAUAUCAGAUUAGCUAGUUGGUGGGGUAAAGGCCUACCAAGGCAACGAUCUGUAGUUGGUCUGAGAGGACGACCAGCCACACUGGGACUGAGACACGGCCCAGACUCCUACGGGAGGCAGCAGUGGGGAAUUUUGGACAAUGGGCGCAAGCCUGAUCCAGCAAUGCCGCGUGCAGGAAGAAGGCCUUCGGGUCGUAAAGUUCUUUUAGCAGGGAAGAAGGGAAACUUAGACUGUACCUGCAGAAAAGACACCGGCUAACUACCGUGCCAGCAGCCGCGGUAAU